AAGUAAAGAAGUAAAAUACAAUUAAUUUCGACUUAAAAUUUAGGGUAAAUAACCCCAUACUUU
rnacentral:tRNA from 1 species